rnacentral:tRNA from 2 species
AUGACUAUGGCGGAAUUGGUAGACGCGAUUAGUUUAGGUCUAAUUAUAUUUAUAUAUAAGGGUUCAAAUCCCUUUAGUCAUA